UACAGAGGGGCAAGCGUUAUUCGGAAUUAUUGGGCGUAAAGGGCGCGUAGGCGGCUUGGCAAGUGGAUGGUGAAAUCCCUCGGCUUAACCGGGGAACUGCGUCUGAUACUGGAUGGCUUGAGAUUGGGAGAGGGAUGCGGAAUUCCAGGUGUAGCGGUGAAAUGCGUAGAUAUCUGGAGGAACACCGGUGGCGAAGGCGGCAUCCUGGGACCAACACUGACGCUGAGGAGCGAAAGCCAGGGGAGCAAACGGG
rnacentral:rRNA from 1 species